rnacentral:rRNA from 1 species
UACCAGCACCCCGAGUGGUCGGGACGAUUAUUGGGCCUAAAGCCUCCGUAGCCGGUCUUGCAAGUCUUCCGUUAAAUCCAGCUGCUUAACAGAUGGGCUGCGGAGGAUACUACAAGGCUAGGAGGCGGGAGAGGCAAGCGGUACUCAGUGGGUAGGGGUAAAAUCCUCUGAUCCAUUGAAGACCACCAGUGGCGAAGGCGGCUUGCCAGAACGCGCUCGACGGUGAGGGAUGAAAGCUGGGGGAGCAAACCGG